rnacentral:rRNA from 1 species
AUGUCAUCUGGGAGCCGAGAGCUGCUGCGCCGACACGCACGACGGCGGCGACCAGCUGCUGCUGCCGGCGGUCAUGUCCGAGCCCUUCCACUUCCCCUUCCAACCUCCCGGCCGUACGUCGACGAGGCCGCGCCCGUACAUCCUGAGGUAGGCGAGCUGCUCGGUCCUAGGCACGCACACGUCCAUGCUGCCGUCGAGCAUGCCGGACACGGCCGUCAUGGCCGGCCGCACCGACGCCUCCUCCUGGAGGCAGCACAGGGCGACGCGCACCACCCUCGCCACCUCCGCCGCGUCCGCCCGGCCCUCCAGCCUCGGGUCCACCAGCUCCAGGUACCGCCCCUCCUCGUGCAGGUCCAAUGCCAGCGCCGGGAAGUAGCUGCUCCUCGCCUUCGUCGCCUCGCCACCGGCGCCAUCGGACGACGCGGCGCUGGUGGUGGUGCUGCUGCCGGUGGUGGUGGUGUCGUGCUCGUCAUCCUGCUUAGAGUUUUUCCGGCCGCGCACGAUCUCCAGCAGCACCAUGCCGAAGCUGUACACGUCGGCCUUGUCGGUGAUGGGCGCGUUCAUGAGCCACUCGGGCGCCAGGUACCCGCGGGUGCCGCGCAUGGUGGUGAAGAGCCCCGACUGCUCCGGGCUCAUCAGCUUAGCCAGCCCGAAGUCGGCGAUCUUCACGCCGCCGCGGUCGUCCAGCAGGAUGUUCUCCGGCUUGACGUCGCAGUGCAGGAUCUUGCGGUCGCAGCCGGCGUGGAGGUACGCCAGGCCGCGCGCCGCGCCCGCGCACACGCCGAGACGAUCGGGCCACUCCAGCACGUCCCUCUUCUUCGUGGCGGCGCCGGCGGCGGCGCGGGGGAAAAGGGACUGGUCCAGCGAGCCGCGGCUCAUGUACUCGUACACCAGCAGCUGCUGGCGCGCGCCCUCGGCGCAGAACCCGCGGAGCUUCACCAGGUUCACGUGGUGGACGUUGCCGAUCACGGCGAUCUCCGUGAGGAACUCGCGCCGGCCCUGCAUGCCCAGGUUGUUCAUCCGCUUGACGGCCACGGUGGUCCGGUCGGGGAGCUCGCCGCGGUACACGGAGCCGAACCCGCCCGAGCCGAUCUGCCACUUGAAGCCGUUGGUCGCCGUCUCCAGGUCGGCGAACGUGAACCGGGUCGGCAGGCCCGGGAUGAGCACCUCGUCGUCGUCGCCCUCGCUGUCGUCGCCGUCGCCCUUCUCCGACGGGACGUUGGACGACGCCCGCGACGACGACAAGGACGGCAUCAUGUGCAGCAUGAACCAGCUGCUGCCACCGUUGCCGUGCUUCUUCUUCUUGGCCUUGCCGGUGUUGGCGCCGCCAUGGCGGUUCUUGAGCCAGUGCACGCCCAGCACGUACAGCAGGAAGGUGAUGAACACGGCCGCCACGGCCGGCAGCACGAUGCCGAAUAUGAUGGUGAUGGUGCUCAGCGACGACGAGCCACCGCCACCGCCUUGGCCGCGAGAUGGAGCCGGCGGGACCGUCUUGAUGAAGGCGACGGCGGCGGCUGCGCUGUUGCCGCCGCGGAAGACGGAGCCGAUCUGGUUGUGGACGAGGAAGCAGGACUUGGAGGAGUUCUUGUAGACGAAGCCGACGCAGGAGCAGUUGGCCGAGCAGAGGUCGCGGCACGCCGAGAGCGCGUCGCCGGCGGUUGUGGGGAGCGCGAACUUGCCGGCGAAGUAGCCGAUCCCGUCGCCCAGCCUCGUGUAGCUGUAAGGAGUCCGCGCGGAUGCUGCCGACGACUUGGCGGAGGCGUUGCCGGCGAGGCAGCUGUCAGAUAA